AAAGGAAAAAAAGGAGAAAAAGCACGAUGGGCAUGGUGAUGGCAGCAGCAGCAGCAGCUCCGACAGUGAUUCGGAAAAGGGUCAUGGUGGUGACAAGAAGAAAAAGGAGAAGGAUUAAUUUUGGAGCAGCCUACAAGCCAGCCCAGGAACAUCUGCCGAGAUCAUUCAACACAUUUUCAUCUCCAACACUUGGAAGGGAAGAGUAGAGUGUCUAGGUUUAGUUCCUCCAAAAAAGUGUGUCUUUAUUUUAUUUUCUAUUAAAACAAGAUAUUUUAUUAAUAUU